GAGAGAAGGCUCGAGAAAGUCUCUGGGAAUUAGAAGGGAGGGAGACUUCCACAGCAGACCCUUUGAGAAAAACCUCCCAGACAAGUGGAGGCCAUGAGGCCUCUUGCUGUUCCUGUGUGCCCUGUUCUACCUGCUUCAGGCCCGGAAUUUCCUGCAGAAUGGAAUGAGCUACACCCUGGAGACAAACUACUACCUGGCAUGGCUAGGCAUUUUCCUCUAUAUGCUGACAGGCUUCUUUUGCUUCCUCAACUAUGCGAAUUUCUGGUCUAUGAUGACACCUGGAGGGGCCUGGCUUUAGGCUUUGAGGUGGAUUCCUACCCUGGACCCUGCCCUCCCUGCUUCUUACCCUCACGCCAAGCCUUCCCAGCUGGGACUGUCGCUCUCCCUGGCUGAUCCCUUCUGUUCCCUCUUGACUCCUCAGCUUAAUAAACUCGCGUGUCCUCACUCUCCCCA
rnacentral:lncRNA from 1 species